CGUGGGUUAGCGGUGAGUAUUUCUGAAGCCAGAAAGUUGAGAGCAAUUGCUGCUGGCCUAAAAAUCCCCCUCGCAUGAUAUUUGAAGUCUGUUUUAAAUGCAGAAAAUUUGGAGCCAAAAUUCACUGUCCGGUCUACACCAAACCUGUUUUCCAAAAUGUAAUUCCACUCAGAAUUUACUCCUGCUUUAUGAUGGAAAAGGGAAGCUGCUGAGACUAAGGCUGACUACUCCUGAUCUCGUUAGAGUUCCAUGACCCGAGGGAUUGAAUCCUAUGUGUCUUCUCACAGAACAGACAUCAGAACACAGGGUGAGAGCCAACAUCAGAUGAUCUUUCCAUUUUUUCAGGAAAUGAAGAUUUAGCACCCUGGAACUGCAGCUGGAUGGGAAUGAUCUGUUUUGCCAGGAGAGAUGGGAACUGGGAUUCUGG
rnacentral:lncRNA from 1 species